UUCGCGCAUGGACGAUUUUAUUUUUAUUAAAGCUGUACACUUGUAUCUAUUGAGCACUUCGUAUACUUUUUCCAUUGCAUUUUGAAUAUGCUUACAUUUUGUAUAAUUUGUCAACCAUAUCCAAAUAAUACAUGCAAUUUUUUGUCCAUUCCAACAUAAAUUGUGUCAGGCAUGAUUAUGGUCGGGUUAUUGGAGUCCUCAAUGGUCAAACUCUGGACGACGUUCUUGCGUUUAAAAGCCAAGUACUGUGGCUGUUAUUAAAUAUUGUGACACCGUUGACGUGCAAGAGGACAGCAUAUCAAGAAAAUCAGAUAUUAUUUCUCAGAGUGGACGGCAAGUGGCAGCCAGAGAAUGGCUCAAAUGUUGGGGCUUCUCUCGACGGCUGCUUUGGCUUUACGGAUCGCAGUAAAACCUUGUGUACGCAGUUCAGUGGUGUCGGCAAAGAAUGUAUCUGUGCUGCCCGUCUACCGUGGCUGUUCUGUCAGGGUUGACCGUUUAGAGGUUAUCUACAAACAGUAUGUGAGUCAUUCCAUUACCAGGAGCUGAUGAGGUAGGUGAAAACGGACCAUUCCCUGGAUCUGAAACGGUGACAAACUUUAGACGAUAGCAUGAUGAUUCGCUUGCUUUAGAUUCACUCAGGAUGAAUAAUCUUUCAGUAGAAUCUAGCAAACAAGAUUAAAUGAAGUUAGUAUUUUGUGGUUACAUUGGAAGCUGCAGCCUUAUCGACGAGGUUGACGUUAUUGACGUGUGUUGGUGGUCUUUCCCCAGAGCCAUGUGUGGUUUAACAUCGGUAGGACACCUUCGAGAGGAACUGGGAGGCAGCUCAAGAUGAGCUGGGUGUGGAGUCCUCUCAUAGGGUACAGCUCAAAACGUGACUGGUGAGUUAAUACACACACGGGCUGCGCUAUUAAUCACAUUUUAAUAGAAAUUGCAAUAUUGACAUGCGCAAUAUCCAUAUCGCUGCGACUAUUUUGAAACGCCACUUAGCUGUCUGUAACGC
rnacentral:lncRNA from 1 species